rnacentral:snRNA from 1 species
GUGCUCCUCUCAGCAGCUCGUAUACAAAAACUGGUGAAAUACAGAGAUUAUCAUAGCCCUUCUACAAGGAUAACAUGCAAAUCUGUGAAGUAGUCCAUAUUAAA